AGCAGCAACGAGUGUGCAGAAGGAAUCAGAUAAGCAUCUGCUUCACAGGGUGCCAAAGAGUUAUACAGCAGAGAAGAAAUGUACCAGCCCAGAAAGGGUCUGCAUGGAAGGGAAACGGGAAAUCACCCUCAUCAAGUCAAGUGAUGGUCCAAGUUUCAAGUGAUCCUGAUAUCAUUGUGGUCCUCUCAACCUACAAAGAGAACCUGUAAAGACUUCUCUGAUGAUCAGGGAACUUUCAAGAGGAAACAAAAUGCAAAUACUUGCUGUGUUUCAUGCACACAUAUGUACACCUGUAUGUACAAACAGAGGAACAACAUUGGGAAGAAAGAGGAAACCUGGACCCGUCACCUGAAAGUUGUUCUUAGCACUGUCUCAGGGCAGGAGGCCACUUCAUUAUAAUAAGAAACAUUAUUGAACAUAUGGGAAUCAUGCAAAAAGGAGAGUCAUGUUUCUGGCCCACUCGCUUAUCUCACUUACAGAAUUGAAGUAAGGACAUCUGGCCUCAUUAGAGGAAGUGAUGGGAGGAAUGGAUCUUGGAUAAGCAAUGUAGAGCUCUCUGAAUCGCAGAACAAAGCCAAGUUCUAAAAAUGAGAAAUAACCAUAGCCAUCAAAAGUCAAUUGGAAAAAAAAAGUUUCUGAAAACCAGCAACAGAUGGACUAAUCCAAGCUGCUCAGAACAGACGGCAUAUCAAACUCCCCGCGUGAGGCACGGGGCUCUCCUGCUGAGUGCUGCACCGCAGAAAAAUGGACUCACACCCACCUCAGAACCAGCACUCACAGAACUUUAAACAAUCAGCCUCUCCAUUAGCCCCAUUAGCAACCACAGUUGGAAAGAUGUGUCCUUACUGGAUCCUUGGGGGCUCCAAGGUCCCCCAAUUGCCAGACACCAGAUUACAUCGCAAGGAGCAAAGUCCACAGACAUGCACAAAUGAGCAGUGGAGGAGCAAGAUUAAACACAUGUUUUAUAAAAAGAAAUAUUUUUCUCAUAUAAAAUUAGACUGUGUUCUUCUGUUAACAAAAUAAGAAGAAGAAGAAGGAGGAGGAGGUGGAGGAGGAGACAAAAGAGGAAGAAAGGCUUGCUUUGCUGAGGUGUGCUCACUUUUCAGGGAACUGCUGGUUGAUUUAUUUAUCUACUACAACUCUACCAAGUAAGGAGGCUGAGUUGUACUUGGAAGACUACUUCACACACCCUGGUUCAGAGCCCUUCAUUCAUUAUCUGAACCUGGGUGGAAGAAACCUCCAUGAGCAUCCAGUAGAAACCUUUGGUGCCUGAGUACAGAGAACCUAGACCUCUUCGUUGUGCAGAAAGAAGUGGACAUGGGAUCACAGGACAUGAAGAUGAGGCUUUGAAAGGUGGAGAUAGGGAGACAGCCAUAAAAGGACCUGACGAGUUCCACUCAGGAAAGCAACCCUGGAUUAUUAG